ACUCCUACGGGAGGCAGCAGUGAGGAAUAUUGCACAAUGAGCGCAAGCCUGAUGCAGCGACGCCGCGUGGGUGAAGAAGGUUUUCGGAUCGUAAAACCCUUUUCUGUGUGACGAGCAAGGACGGUAGCACAGGAAUAAGUCUCGGCUAACUACGUGCCAGCAGCCGCGGUAAAACGUAGGAGACAAACGUUAUCCGGAGUUACUGGGCGUAAAGGGCGUGUAGGUGGUUGCGUAAGUCUGGCGUGAAAUUUUUCGGCUUAACCGGGAAAGGUCGUCGGAUACUGCGUAGCUAGAGGACGGUAGAGGCGUGUGGAAUUCCGGGUGUAGUGGUGAAAUGCGUAGAGAUCCGGAGGAACACCAGUGGCGAAGGCGACACGCUGGGCCGUACCUGACACUGAUGCGCGACAGCAUGGGGAGCAAACAGGAUUAGAAACCCUGGUAGUCCAUGCCGUAAACGAUGCUAGCUGGGUGUUCAGGGGGGGAAACCCCUCGGGGUACCGAAGUCAACAC
rnacentral:rRNA from 1 species